CUUGCUUUUAGGUCAUAUAAGAAUAAAAAAAUGUAAUCUCCAUUUGCGAUUGUUCCAGACAUGUGAGAUGAAAGUGUUUCAAAUAAGAGAGAACAAAUUGUUUCGUAUUGCCACAGGCAAGGUCUGCAGAAGAUAUAGAAUUUGAGGAAGGAUAUUCAUCUUAAGGACAUGUAUUCUACCUAACCAGGUUAUAUGCAGAAGGGCACAAUUUUGUAAAUCUUUAGAGAUCUGUUGUAGGAGUGGCAUGAAUUUAAGGUCCAAGGUUUUGCCGAGGUUAGAGGUCAAUUUUAAUCCCCCAGUAGGUAACGGAAUCUUUGACCCAUUUAAAUGGAAACUUGGUCUGAAGCGAUUGGGACAGUGAGCUAGCAAUAGAGAUGUUCAAUAUUUCGGAUUUGGUAUAGCUGAU